rnacentral:rRNA from 1 species
UGGGGAAUAUUGGACAAUGGGGGCAACCCUGAUCCAGCAAUGCCGCGUGAGUGAUGAAGGCCUUAGGGUUGUAAAGCUCUUUCGCACGCGACGAUGAUGACGGUAGCGUGAGAAGAAGCCCCGGCUAACUUCGUGCCAGCAGCCGCGGUAAUACGAAGGGGGCGAGCGUUGUUCGGAAUUACUGGGCGUAAAGGGCGCGUAGGCGGCCUGUUUAGUCAGAAGUGAAAGCCCCGGGCUUAACCUGGGAACGGCUUUUGAUACUGGCAGGCUUGAGUUCCGGAGAGGAUGGUGGAAUUCCCAGUGUAGAGGUGAAAUUCGUAGAUAUUGGGAAGAACACCGGUGGCGAAGGCGGCCAUCUGGACGGACACUGACGCUGAGGCGCGAAAGCGUGGGGAGCAAACAGG